rnacentral:rRNA from 1 species
UACGGAAGGCGCAAGCGUUGUUCGGAUUUACUGGGCGUAAAGGGUGCGUAGGCGGUCUGUCAAGCGGGGAGUGAAAUCCCGGGGUUCAACUCCGGAACUGCUCUCCGAACUGACGGACUCGAGUCCGGGAGAGGUGGGUGGAAUUCCUGGUGGAGCGGUGAAAUGCGUAGAUAUCAGGAGGAACACCGGUGGCGAAGGCGGCCCACUGGAACGAGACUGACGCUGAGGCACGAAAGCGUGGGGAGCAAACAGG